UUCUUUAUGAGAGUUUGAUCCUGGCUCAGGAUGAACGCUGGCGGCGUGACUAAGGCAUGCAAGUCGAACGGUUCCAUCUAUGGCGCAAGCUUGCGAUGGAAUAGUGG
rnacentral:rRNA from 1 species